rnacentral:rRNA from 1 species
AACGAACGCUGGCGGCAUGCCUAACACAUGCAAGUCGAACGAGACCUUCGGGUCUAGUGGCGCACGGGUGCGUAACGCGUGGGAAUCUGCCCUUGGGUUCGGAAUAACACCUGGAAACGACUGCUAAUACCGGAUGAUGACGUAAGUCCAAAGAUUUAUCGCCCUAGGAUGAGCCCGCGUAGGAUUAGCUAGUUGGUGAGGUAAAGGCCUACCAAGGCGACGAUCCUUAGCUGGUCUGAGAGGAUGAUCAGCCACACUGGGACUGAGACACGGCCCAGACUCCUACGGGAGGCAGCAGUGGGGAAUAUUGGACAAUGGGCGAAAGCCUGAUCCAGCAAUGCCGCGUGAGUGAUGAAGGCCUUAGGGUUGUAAAGCUCUUUUACCCGGGAUGAUAAUGACAGUACCGGGAGAAUAAGCUCCGGCUAACUCCGUG